GGUGGUUCUCGGUGACGCACCCCGAAAUCGGGCUCCCUCCUCUCUGGUUCCAGGUGCAUCACCCAAGAACCACA
rfam:Myotis brandtii contig214424, whole genome shotgun sequence.